GACGAACGCUGGCGGCGUGCUUAACACAUGCAAGUCGAACGAUGAAGAAGAGCUUGCUCUUCGGAUUAGUGGCGAACGGGUGAGUAACACGUGACUAACCUGCCCUUUCUCUGGGAUAACGCUCCGAAAGGAGUGCUAAUACCGGAUACUCACAUCGAGGCACAUGCCUUGAUGUGGAAAGUUUUUCGGAAAGGGAUGGAGUCGCGGCCUAUCAGCUUGUUGGUGAGGUAACGGCUCACCAAGGCGACGACGGGUAGCCGGCCUGGGAGGGCGACCGGCCACACUGGGACUGAAACACGGCCCAGACUCCUACGGGAGGCAGCAGUGGGGAAUAUUUCACAAUGGGCGAAAGCCUAAUGCAGCGACGCCGCGUGAGGGAUGAAGGUCUUCGGAUUGUAAACCUCUUUCAGUAGGGACAAAGCGAAAGUGACGGUACCUAAAGAAGAAGCACCGGCUAACUACGUGCCAGCAGCCGCCGUAA
rnacentral:rRNA from 1 species